UAACUAGUAAUAAACAGCAUCUGUGACAGUCUCGUUAUUUAACAAGACUUUGAUGACUGGAUUUUAUAAUGAUGAAAAUAUGUAUUUAUAAUGUAUGCAAACUUUUCUAGUCACGGUAUGACUGAAAUACUGCCGCUGUGACUCUAAAUGUUAACUCACUGACUCACUUUUUUAU